AAUUAGCCUCCUCAAUGAAAAAGAAAGAGGGGGAGGAAGAGGAAGAGAAAAGAAGAAGAAAACCCUGAACAUGGUUUCAUUGGAUAUUCACCCGAACUGCUACAGAACAACACGCUGCCCGAUUACAGCCCGGGGGAAUCUUUUUUCACUGUCUUUGGGGUUUUCUUCCCAGCGGCUACAGGAGUCAUGGCCGGCUUCAACAUGGGGGGCGACCUCAGGGAGCCUGCCGCCAGCAUUCCCCUGGGCUCCCUGGCAGCUGUUGGCAUCUCGUGGUUUCUGUACAUCGUCUUCGUCUUCCUCCUGGGCGCCAUCUGCACUCGAGAGGCCCUUCGCUAUGACUUCCUCAUAGCGGAAAAGGUAUCCCUCGUGGGCUUCCUGUUCCUUUUGGGCUUAUACAUCUCGUCCCUGGCUUCCUGUAUGGGAGGACUUUAUGGAGCUCCCCGCAUCCUGCAGUGCAUUGCCCAGGAGAAAGUGAUCCCUGCACUUGCCUGUCUGGGACAAGGGAAGGGGCCAAACAAAACACCCGUGGCUGCCAUCUGCCUGACCAGCUUGGUGACCAUGGCCUUUGUUUUUGUGGGUCAAGUGA
rnacentral:sRNA from 1 species